CAGCGCUGCACUCUGUUUCAAUGUGUGAUGUUGGAUAUGGCAUCAUGUUAUACUCAUUACUACCCUGGGGCGCUGGCAACACAGGGGCGCUGGGGGAGGACCCUCCCUCACUGGCACUGUAGGGUGGAGGAAUGUCAUGCAGCAGUACACAAUGACAAUGGCGGCAAUGAGAACAAGGGCAAUAACUCCCACUAUGACUCCAACUACUGUGGAAAAACCCACGACAUAGACGUCCGCACCUUCUGCAAAAUAAUCACCUGCAGAGUAGAAAACACAUAAUAAGGGAAAGAGUUUUCACUUUAAUGGUUAUUUUAAGUUAAUAGAAAGUCUCUUGUAAGCGAAAAUCGUGUUAAGGUGGAAAAGUGUCGUCCUGAUUAGCCUGAGUGGACUACACAGGCUAACCUGGGAAGACACUUUAAGCACAUGCAUUUAACUCCAUUUUCUCAGAGUAACAUAAAAAUAUUAAGGGCUGUCAAUUUUCUAAAAUUAGUUUUUUUUUCUGUUUUGAGAAUUUUCAGCUUGAUUACAGUUUUUAACACACCAAUUUUUAUAAAGAGGAUAUUAUAUUUUUUAAAUAUGUUUACAUUAUGAUAUUAUUCAACUAUAAUUAAUAUUAAACCAAAACUCUGAAAAAGUACACUUUUCUAGUGCUAUGGUUCUACAUGUUAAAUGACAACACUGUAAAAGAAUACUUUUAAAGUACCAAUGAAUAUUACUUGUAAAUGAAAACUCUGUAAAAAUAAAAGGCUUGCUGGUAACCAAUGUUCUCACUUUUAGAGUGGAUCUUGAGCUCCAGUUUGAACCAGUAUCCAUCCCGCGAGAGCUCUUGCUUGCGCAUCUUCACUGUGAGGUAGUUGGACGAGCUACAGACCGUCUGGGGAAGGUCGGGGUCAUCACGAGAAUGGCAGUUCACCGAACUCUGAAUAAAACAUCAAUGGUGACAAGCAAGGUCAUUUAUAUAGUAACACUCAAUAAGAUAAACUUUAUGAGCAUAAAUUAUCCAUAAAUUAUGCAAUUGUUGGUUUCUAGUGUUGACAUAGACCAAGCGAAGAAUAUACCGUACCGUGGUAUGCUCGCCAGAAUUACGGGUUACUUUAGCAGCUAAAACUAUAAAUUUGAUUGGUCCUUGUGUUCUUGCGUUCAUACAUACCAUUGUGUUUAUGACUGUUUCAUUUGUGAAGACACUAUGCAGCAUCAUGUAUGUUGUGUUUGUAUGUUUGUUAUGAUUUACUAUUUCCACUACCUUUACAAGGUGCAAACAUUUGUUAAAAUUAAAAUGAAUUUGCAUAAUUAA